CUGGACAAAGCAGUUUCAGAAGCAGAAUGGUUUUCUGGAAUCCAAAACUGAGAAGGAUGCCUAGCAAAAGAAUUCCAGAAUGGAUGCAUUACAGAAGCUAUGAUCAAACAGGCUUUCCUGAAGAAUCAAACUGUGAAAACUACAACCAUAAAAGGCCCUCCAUUUAUUGCAUUCGCCAAAAAAAAAAAAAAAGUGAUAUUCGUAUGGGAGGCUGAGCUGGAGGCUAAUAAUGAAGGAGUCAGUAAAGGAGGCCAGUGCCGUGAGGGUUAUCUCGCGGCCCCAGAUGCUGGAUAA
rnacentral:lncRNA from 1 species